rnacentral:rRNA from 1 species
CCAGACUCCUACGGGAGGCAGCAGUGAGGAAUAUUGGUCAAUGGGCGGGAGCCUGGACCAGCCAAGUCGCGUGAGGGAAGACGGUCCUAUGGAUUGUAAACCUCUUUAGGCGGGGAGCAAUGCCGGGCACGCGUGUCCGGAGGGAGAGUACCCGCAGAAUAAGCAUCGGCUAACUCCGUGCCAGCAGCCGCGGUAAUACGGAGGAUGCGAGCGUUAUCCGGAUUUAUUGGGUUUAAAGGGUGCGUAGGCGGAUUUUUAAGUCAGCGGUAAAAUGUCCGGGCUCAACCCGGGCCGGCCGUUGAAACCGGAGCGCUAGAAUUCCGAUGCCGUCGGAGGAAUGUGUGGUGUAGCGGUGAAAUGCAUAGAUAUCACACAGAACACCGAUUGCGAAGGCAUCUGACGAAUCGGAGAUUGACGCUGAUGCACGAAAGCGUGAGUAUCGAACAGGAUUAGAUACCCGGGUA